rnacentral:rRNA from 1 species
UAUUGCGCAAUGGGCGAAAGCCUGACGCAGCAACGCCGCGUGGGGGAUGAAGGCCUUCGGGUUGUAAACCUCUUUCAGCAGGGAAGAAGCGAAAAGUGACGGUACCUGCAGAAGAAGCACCGGCUAACUACGUGCCAGCAGCCGCGGUAAUACGUAGGGUGCAAGCGUUGUCCGGAUUUAUUGGGCGUAAAGAGCUCGUAGGCGGUUAGUCACGUCGGAUGUGAAUCCCGAGCUAACUCCGGGCCUGCAUUCAUACGGGCUACUCGAGUGUUGAGGGGGACUGAACUCCUGGUGAGCGGUAAAUGCGCAGUUCAGAAGACACCGGUGGAAGCGGGCUCUGGGAACUCUGCGUGAGCAAAUAGAUAG